rnacentral:rRNA from 1 species
AUUGAACGCUGGCGGCAGGCUUAACACAUGCAAGUCGAGCGGGGGAAGGUAGCUUGCUACUGGACCUAGCGGCGGACGGGUGAGUAAUGCUUAGGAAUCUGCCUAUUAGUGGGGGACAACAUCUCGAAAGGGAUGCUAAUACCGCAUACGUCCUACGGGAGAAAGCAGGGGAUCUUCGGACCUUGCGCUAAUAGAUGAGACUAAGUCGGAUUAGCUAGUUGGUGGGGCAAAGGCCUACCAAGGCGACGAUCUGUAGCGGGUCUGAGAGGAUGAUCCGCCACACUGGGACUGAGACACGGCCCAGACUCCUACGGGAGGCAGCAGUGGGGAAUAUUGGACAAUGGGGGGAACCCUGAUCCAGCCAUGCCGCGUGUGUGAAGAAGGCCUUAUGGUUGUAAAGCACUUUAAGCGAGGAGGAGGCUACUUUAGUUAAUACCUAGAGAUAGUGGACGUUACUCGCAGAAUAAGCACCGGCUAACUCUGUGCCAGCCGCCGCCGUAA